CUGCAGAUCACCUAGGGAGCUUGUUAAAAGGCAGAUUCUAAUUCUGGAGUUCUAGGAUGGGCCUAAGAAUCUGUAUUUCUAGCAAGCUCCCAGGUGAUGCCAAU
rnacentral:pre_miRNA from 1 species